CCUACGGGGGGCUGCAGUGGGGAAUAUUGGACAAUGGGGGCAACCCUGAUCCAGCCAUGCCGCGUGUGUAAAGAAGGCCCUCGGGUUGUAAAGCACUUUCAGUGAGGAAGAACGCCUGGUGGUUAAUACCCAUCAGGAAAGACAUCACUCACAGAAGAAGCACCGGCUAACUCCGUGCCAGCAGCCGCGGUAAUACGGAGGGUGCGAGCGUUAAUCGGAAUUACUGGGCGUAAAGCGCGCGUAGGUGGCUUGAUAAGCCGGUUGUGAAAGCCCCGGGCUCAACCUGGGAACGGCAUCCGGAACUGUCAAGCUAGAGUGCAGGAGAGGAAGGUAGAAUUCCCGGUGUAGCGGUGAAAUGCGUAGAGAUCGGGAGGAAUACCAGUGGCGAAGGCGGCCUUCUGGACUGACACUGACACUGAGGUGCGAAAGCGUGGGUAGCAAACAGGAUUAGAUACCCCAGUAGUC
rnacentral:rRNA from 1 species